CCUGCAGCGCGAGGACUCGGCGCUGGUCGGCCGCCUGCAACGCAGCCUGGGUUCGCUCGGUGCCAGCCUGCAGGCC
rnacentral:tRNA from 1 species